rnacentral:tRNA from 1 species
UCCCUUAUAGCUCAGUUGGUAAAGCAUCUGCCUGCAAUGCAGGAGACCUGUGUUCAAUUCUUGGGUCAGGAA